rnacentral:rRNA from 1 species
UACGUAGGGGGCAAGCGUUGUCCGGAUUGAUUGGGCUUAAAGGGUGCGUAGGCGGUCUAUUAAGUCAGUGGUGAAAUAUCCCGGCUUAACCGGGAGGGUGGCAUUGAUACUGAUGGACUUGAGUAGAGUCGAGGUAGGCGGAAUUGACGGUGUAGCGGUGAAAUGCUUAGAUAUCGUCAAGAACACCUAUAGCGAAGGCAGCUUACUAGGCUCUAACUGACACUGAGGCACGAAAGUGUGGGGAUCAAACAGG